UACAGAGACUGCAAGCGUUAUUCGGAUUCACUGGGCGUAAAGGGCGCGUAGGUGGCGGGACAAGCGUGCGGUGAAAGCCUGGGGCUCAACCCCGGGUCGGCCGUGCGAACUGUUUUGCUUGAGCACUGUAGAGGCAGGCGGAAUUCCGGGUGUAGCGGUGGAAUGCGUAGAGAUCCGGAAGAACACCGGUGGCGAAGGCGGCCUGCUGGGCAGUUGCUGACACUGAGGCGCGACAGCGUGGGGAGCAAACAGG
rnacentral:rRNA from 1 species